rnacentral:lncRNA from 15 species
AUGGGGAACCACAUAGAGCGACCAAGAGAAAGGAACAUGGGCGACAGGCUGAGGUGCUGCAGGUGUGAUAAAGUCCUGCGUCCAUUACGUUCAUUCUCAAAUUUAUGCCAAAAGACGAUUUAUGGGCGGAGAGUACACGAGUUCUUUAGAGGAGAAUACUACAGACCGGUUACCAACUACAACUACGAGUGUGGAUCCUGCUUUCAUAGGUCAUUCAGGGAGGAGGAAAUUAGGAGAGAGGAGGAGAGGAGGAGAGAGGAGGAGAGGAGGAGAGAGGAGGAGAGGAGGCGAGAAGAGGAGGAGAGGAGGACAGAGGAGGAGCGACAGAGGAGAGAGGAGAUGAGGAGAGAGGAGGAGAGGAGGAAGAGAAAAGAGGAGCAACAGAGGAGAGAGGAAGAGAGGAGGCGAGAAGAGGAGCGACAGAGGAGAGAGGAAGAGAGGAGGAGAGAGGAGGAGAGGAGGAGGAGAAAAGAGCAGCAACAGAGGAGAGAGGAAGAGAGGAGGAGAGAGGGGGAGCGACAGAGGAGAAGAGAAGAAAAGAGACAGAGGAGAAAGGAGGAGAGGAGGAGAGAAAAAGAGAGACAGAUGAAAGAGGAGGAGAUGAGAAGAAAAGAGGAAAGACUGAGGAGAGAGGAGGAGAGGAGGAGAGAAGAGGAGCGACAGAGGAGAAGAGAAGAAAAGAGACAGAGGAGAGAGGAGGAGAGGAGAAGAGAAAGGGAGACACAGAUGAGAGAGAAGGAGCAGAAGAGAGAAGAGGAAAGACAGGGUAGGGAGGAGAGGCAGAGGAGAAGAGAAGAGGAUCAACAGAAGAGAGAGGAGGAGAGGAGGAGAGAAGAGGAAAGACAGGGUAGGGAGGAGAGGCAGAGGAGAAGAGAAGAGCAGCGACAGAAGAGAGAGGAGGAGGAGAGGAGAGAGGCUGAAGAGAAGCAGAGAGAAGAAGAACUGAAUCAAAGACUACAGGAAUCAAACCAACGAGCCAAAGAGCAGCACGAGAAACAACUGAGCCACAUUUCAGAGGAAUGUGAGUCCAGGACAGAUGUUCUAAUCAGACAUCAGGAUGAGUGUGAGGAUAACUGUGACUCAGACAGCGACAAGCUUCUACAAAUCCUCUCUUUGAAAUGCCAGUUCCCAGUUCCAGAUCUCAGUCUCACUCAGCUGACAGAUGAUCAGCUGGGGAAGAUCCUGUCAGUACUGGACCAGCUCCUGUUUGAUGAAUGGAUCCGUGCUCCCCCGACCAUCAGCACUCUGCAGCACACUCAGGUCUUCAUCACAGAGCUGUGUGUCCUGUCUCUGGACACAUCCCAGGAAGUUUCACUACAAAACAUCUCCAAUGGUGUGCAGUCCCUGGUGGAGUCUAUCAGCCAGUCAGCAUCUAAUGUUUCUGAGAGUUUCCUGCUGACUCAAGCCCUGUAUCUCAACCUUGUGCACUGUCUCAAGGAUUAUGGCAGUCCUGAUACUGAUGCAGUCCUCAUAGCCAAACACUGGGCUGNNNNNNNNNNNNNNNNNNNNCUCCUCUUAUCCACACUUACUCAUCUGAAUGGAAAGGAAGCCCACUCAGAGUCCACUCAGAUGCUCCUCAGACUUGUGCAAACACACCAAUGGACCCCAAUGGAGGCAUUAACCCUGCUCAGAGCCCUAUCACAGAACUACGUUGACGAUGUUUCAAUAACUGAAGUCCUUACGAUGGUACAAGUGCAUGAUUUAUCCCCACAGUGGAUGGAUGAGUCUGGUAGCUCUCUCACUUUGGCUCUGGACGCUGGCCCUGAAAGAUUCCAUCAAGAUUUCCAAAAGACUCUCAGAAAGACAGAUGAGAGUAAUCUAGUUGCGGCUCUAGAAGAAAUAAAAAUGUCAUGGGAUUUGGAUGAUUCAGUGAUUGAUAUGAUAAAAAACAUCACCACUGGUGUCCUGCAAUAUUCAGAGAAUGCACCAAAAGACGCCCCAUUAAUGAAAGAUUCAUUUGAAUGUGUAACAUUGGAUGUAGACCACAUACAGAAGUCUCUGUGCCAGCUCUGUAAAGCAGUGUUUGACACAAAAGGCUGGUGGCCCACAGUGAGGCAGAUGCUGCGGUGGUGUGCGUUGGUGCUGACUCAGAAGAGUGGAGCUCUACAGCUGGUUGGUGUGGAAGAAGACCCGUGUGUCACAGCCAUGUAUGCAGCCACACGAGUGUGCAUGGGAAACAAAGUGGACAUCGUGCUGAGCUCUGACGUUCACUCAGAGGAGCGAACUGAGGACUGGUCUGACUUCUACAAGAACCUUGGAAUUUCUCUCAACACAAACAUGAAGAAAAGGAAUGAAUCACACAGGGAUGUCUAUGAAGCGGACAUUGUGUACGGUACCAUCAAUGACUUUGUCUCUGAUUACUUUCAAUACGGCGCAGAGGUGAUGGAGGCAGGGAACCCGCUGCUCAGUCGUGGAUUUAUCAUUGAAGAACAAAGUCUAAGUUGUUCCUAUAAUCUGGAACUUUUAAGGUUCAAGGACAAUGAUUUCCUGGUGUUUGCUGCAGAGGUCCUGCAGAACCUCAUGGGUAAAUUUCACAGUGAAGAUAUGGAACUGAGACAGAGGUUUUUUAAGGCUCUUUUUCAGUUGCUGCACACCAACCUCAACAAAGACACAAACACUGACAAUAAAAUCAUCACCAUCUUGAAGACAAUAUCUGGACAGGGACUGCCUUCUAAUGAGGUCUUCAUUCUGACCUUCCUGGAGAAUCUCCUUAAAGUGGUCACUGAAGAAACAGAAAGUGAGAAAAACAAGACAUCUCCUGCAGGCAGAUGGUGUCUGGAGAUAUUAUUUGCCUGUGCUGAGAAUUUCCAAGCAUCAACUACUACAAAAGAACUCUUCCAGAUAGUUUUGAAUCUUGACAAACAAAGACUGUGGUCACCAGUAGAGACCUUAAUUCUCCUUGUCACAUUAACUGACCACCAUAACGAUAAAGACUGUAUCGCCAUCUUGAAGAUUUUACAUUUAUUGGAAACAUAUCAGGUUUCUUCCAAGUGGACAGAUAAGAACAACAAAUCUCUCCUUAAGCUCCUGGAUUCAUAUAGAACUGAAACUCUGAUCAAGCAUUUAGAAGAGAGCCUUAGAGAUGAGAAAGCAAAAAGCAUUGAGACUCUUUUUGAUGAAAUACGGCGGAUGAAAGACAUUGAUGAACAAACCCUGAGUAAAUCAUACAGUGUAGUAACUCAUGUAACAAACCUGAUCAAAACCGGUGAAAUCAAAAAGCACACAGAUGUACAGCGAGCUAGGGAUCUGAGUCACAGCACUGACACAGAAGACCUUCAGGAAGUCCUGGCAGUCUUAUGCAAUGCUGUACACCUGCAGAUGGCUGAAGGGAAGUGGUGGCCCAGGAACAAUCAAAUGAUAAGCUGGUGCCUUUUGGCCUUGUCUGACACUGGGAAGCUCCUGGAGAUGGGCACUGGAGAAGGAAAGUCGUGUGUCAUAGCAAUGUUUGCAGUGCUGCGUGUGCUUAGGGGUGAAAAGGUAGAUGUGGUGUCCAGCUCUUUUGUGUUGUGUCAAAGAGAUGCAAAAGAAUGGACCAACUUCUACAAGUUCUUUGACAUAACAGCUGACACAAACACAAACAAAACUGAAGAUAAUGAUCGUAAGGAAUGCUACCAGAAGGACGUGGUCUAUGGAACUAUCGAGGCCUUUGCUGCAGAUCAUCUUCGCCAGAUAUUUGAGAUGAAGGAUGUCAGGCCUGAUCGCAGCUAUCAGUGCAUCUUAAUCGAUGAAGUGGACUCACUGCUGCUGGAUCAGGGAGUGCAGCUGACCUACCUGUCCAGCCCCAUGGUCUCAAUGCAGCACCUGAACGUUAUUCUGGCCAUGAUCUGGGGCCACGUCAGCCAGUAUGGCUUCCUGUCUACAGGACGCCAGACAUUUGUUCAGGGUCCUCCUGCUUCAUUCUUCAAGGCCAUUUUUGACUCAAUAGACACAGAAGAAACUGAAAUUAAUGAUCCACAGGGCAUUUUACUCAUCGCUGAAGAAUGCAACACAGUGCCAAAAGGAUUUACAGAGGACUUCUACCAAAGUGAAAAGGAUGAACUUCUCAAGAAACUUAAAACUGUGAGUCAGGAUGCUGUGGUAGAUUUUUUCAAAGACAUUGAGCAGUAUGUCCCCUAUGGUUUUACUGUUUACACUCUAGAUGACGAGGGAUUGCUCAGUCUUAGAAAGCACAGCCCAUACAACAACCAGGACAUUCAAGAACUCACAUUUCUUGUCCUGGAGGAAGGACUGUGCUGUCCUCUCUAUGAUUCAGAAGAAACUCUCAUCAAGCCCAUUGCAGAAUUAAUCUCAGAGAGGCUUCAGUACACCCCAUGUGCAAACAAUAAAGACAAGAUCAGCAUUCCUGGAUUCUUGAAGAAUCUGGUGGAGAAGAAAGUGUCAGUGUGGGUUCAGAAUGCCUUUCUGGCAAUGCAACUGACGGAGGGACGGGAAUAUGUUGUAGAAAACGACAAUGUCUGUCCUGUGGAUUUCAGAUCCACUGGCAUUGUAGAGCUCAAUAAGAAAUGGGGUGAUGGUCUGCAGCAGUUUAUUGAAAUUAAACAUCAAAUUAAACUGAGCACAAUUUCAGUAGUGACCAACUACAUUUCAAACAUCUCCUUUUUUGAAAAGUAUAAUGGGAAGAUAUACGGAACAACUGGGACACUUGGCAGCAAAACAGACAUUCAGUUUUUACAGAAGCUAUAUCCAAAUCUCUCUGUCUCCAAAAUGUCAACAUUCAACAGAAAGAAGUUGUUUGAGGUCAAAGGUACACUGAAGACCUCAGCUGAAGAGUGGAAAUCUGAAAUAAAACAGGUAGUUAUGGCUCAGAUUUCCCCAAAUUCAUACAGAGAUGGAAGAGCAGCCCUGGUGAUCUGCGAGACUAUCAACAAAGCCAAAGAGAUCUACGAAGAGCUGAAAAGCAAAGCCAAAGAGAUCCAUGAAGAGCUGAAAAGCAGCAUCCCAGUUGAAAUCAUUCUCUACUGCCACAGUGACAAUGACAGUCUGAGCAAAAUAAGUAAGGAACUUUUUCCUGGUGAUGUCAUUGUUGCCACAAACCUUGCAGGGCGUGGCACAGACAUAAAAGUGUCCAAACAGGUGAACAACAAUGGAGGAUUAUUUGUGAUCCUCUCCUUCCUUUCUGAGAACACAAGAGUGGAACUUCAGGCUUUUGGUCGAACUGCACGCAAAGGUAAACCUGGAUCUGCUCAGAUAAUUAUGUCCACUGAAUACCUGCAGCAGUCUUUCAGGACAGUGUCUUCUCUGGAAGAAGCUAAGAGCAUGAGGGAUAGACUUGCAGCAGAAAAGACAAAUAACAUGAUGAAUGAUGUAACUGAGUUGAGACUUCGGGAGGACCUGUUCUCAGAGUACUGCAAAACUCUUCAAGAUAUUCACGAGAACACAGAUGGAGAUGACAGAAGAGCUGUUGUUGCCACCAUGAAUGACUUCUGGGGGAUUUGGCUGCAAAUUAAAUCAGAAGAAAUUGAACAGUUGAAGAGAGAAGAAUUGCAGAAGAGUUUGAAAGAUGAUUUGUCAUUGGCAAAAAGUCAAUCUCAGAAUCAGACUUCACCGUGUUCCAGCAUUUAUCACUACAUCAAAGUUUGGAAAUNUCGCACUGUGUGA